GACAGAGGGUGCAAACGUUGCUCGGAAUGUACUGGGCGUAAAGCGUGUGUAGGCGGAUCGUUAAGUACCUUGUGAAAUCCCACGGCUUAACCGUGGAACUGCUUGGUAUACUGGCGGUCUUGAGCCAGCUAGGGGCUACCGGAACAAAUGGUGGAGCGGUGAAAUGCGUAGAUAUCAUUUGGAACGCCAAUGGUGAAAACAGGUAGCUGGGGCUGUGCUGACGCUGAGACACGAAAGCCAGGGGAGCAAACGGG
rnacentral:rRNA from 1 species